rnacentral:lncRNA from 1 species
AGGGCUUGAUCUUGGGAUGAACAGUUUUGUGGAUUUAUUGAUGUUGUUGAUCCAAAGGGCCGUUGGGGCUUGAUCUUAGGAUGAACAGUUGUGUGGAUUUGUUUGAUGUUGUUGAUCCAAAGGGCCAUUGGGGCUUGAUCUUAGGAUGAACAGUUAUGUGGAUUUGGUGAUGUUGUUGAUCCAAAAGGGCCGCCGGGGCUUGAUCUUAGGAUGAACAGUUGUGUGGAUUUGUUGAUGUUGUUGAUCCAAAGGGUCGUUGGGGCUUGAUCUUAGGAUGAACAGUUAUGUGGAUUUGGUGAUGUUGUUGAUCCAAAAGGGCCGUCGGGGCUUGAUCUUAGGAUGAAUAGUUAUGUGGAUUUGGUGAUGUUGUUGAUCCAAAAGGGCCGUCGGGGGCUUGAUCUUAGGAUGAACAGUUGUGUGGAUUUGUUGAACACUUUCUUCAAGGGCCGUCGAGGCUUGAUCUUGAAUUGGUG